AUUUUGUCUAUUCCUGUAACUACCGUUGCUUCAGAGUUUACCUUCGGUACAUCUGGUUGUGUGCUUGAUGGCUUUAGAAGUUCUUUGACUCCUAGAGUCUUGAAAGCUUUGAUUUGCACUCAAGAUUGGUUGAGAGCAGUUAUCGAGCCGAUUAAUGUUGAAGAGUGCAUCGAGAACGCGGAAAAGUUUGAGUUGGAUAUGGAUCAUGUUAACGUGGAGAUUAACGGUACAUAGAGUUUACAAGUUGAAGUGAAAGGAAUAUAUGUGGAGGUUGGAACUUGGAGUUUUAGAGUACUCAAAGCCU